rnacentral:rRNA from 1 species
GAGUUUGAUCGUGGCUCAGGAUGAACGCUAGCGGCAGGCUUAAUACAUGCAAGUCGAGGGGCAGCGGGGGUAGCAAUACCCGCCGGCGACCGGCAAACGGGUGCGGAACACGUACGCAACCUUCCUUUAACUGGAGAAUAGCCCCUCGAAAGAGGGAUUAAUACUCCGUAACAUAUUUUUAAGGCAUCUUAUGAAUAUUAUAGCCCUCGGGCGGUUGAAGAUGGGCGUGCGCCUGAUUAGAUAGUUGGUGAGGUAACGGCCCACCAAGUCUGCGAUCAGUAACUGGUGUGAGAGCACGACCAGUCACACGGGCACUGAGACACGGGCCCGACUCCUACGGGAGGCAGCAGUAAGGAAUAUUGGUCAAUGGACGAAAGUCUGAACCAGCCAUGCCGCGUGGAGGAUUAAGGCCCUCUGGGUUGUAAACUCCUUUUAUCUGGGAAGAAAUGCCAUUUUUCUAAAUGGUUUGACGGUACCAGAGGAAUAAGCACCGGCUAACUCCGUGCCAGCCGCCGCAGUAAG